GGGCCUGUAGCUCAGCGGUAAGAGCAGCGGACUCAUAAUCCGUUGGUCCACAGUUCAAAUCUGUGCAGGCCCACCA
rnacentral:tRNA from 1 species